rnacentral:rRNA from 1 species
UACGUAGGGGGCAAGCGUUAUCCGGAUUUAUUGGGCGUAAAGGGCUCGUAGGCGGUUUGUCACGUCGGGAGUGAAAACUCAGGGCUCAGCCCUGAGCGUGCUUCCGAUACGGGCAGACUAGAGGUAUGCAGGGGAGAACGGAAUUCCUGGUGUAGCGGUGGAAUGCGCAGAUAUCAGGAGGAACACCGGUGGCGAAGGCGGUUCUCUGGGCAUUACCUGACGCUGAGGAGCGAAAGCAUGGGGAGCGAACAGG